rnacentral:rRNA from 1 species
UACGUAGGGCGCAAGCGUUGUCCGGAAUUAUUGGGCGUAAAGAGCUCGUAGGCGGCUUGUCACGUCGGGUGUGAAAGCCCCGGGCUUAACCUGGGAAUGGCCAUGGAAACUGGCGAACUGGAGUGUGGCAGAGGGGGGUGGAAUUCCGCGUGUAGCAGUGAAAUGCGUAGAGAUGCGGAGGAACACCGAUGGCGAAGGCAGCCCCCUGGGCUAGCACUGACGCUCAGGCACGAAAGCGUGGGGAGCAAACAGG